ACUAUUUGCUUGUCUCAAAGAUAAAGCCAUGCAUGUGUAAGUAUGAACUAAUUCAGGACUGUGAAACUGCCGAAUGGCUCAUUAAAAUCAGUUAUAGGUUGUUUUGAUGGUACACUGCUACUAGGAUAACCGUAGUAAUUUCAGAGGCUUAAUACGUGCAACAAACCCCGACUUCUUGGAAGGGAUGCAUUAUUAGAUAAAAGGUCGACGCGGGCCUUACGCACCGUUUGCUCUGGAUGAUUCAUGAUAACUCGAACGGACUCGCUACGGCCAACGUGCCGGGCGACGCAUCAUUCAAAUUUCUGCCCUAUCAACUUCGUGGUGGAAGAGGCUAAACAUGGUGGUGACGGGUGACGGAGAAUUUAGGGUUUCGCAUUCCGGAGACGGGAGCCUGAGAAACGAGCUACCAUCAUCCAAGAGAGGGCCAGCAGGCGCGCAAAUUACCCCAAAUUCUGACACGGGAAGGUAGUGACAAAUAAAUAACAAUACCGGGCUCUUAGAGUCUGGUAAUUGGAGAUGAGUACAAUCUAAAUCCCUUAACGAGGACCAUUGGAGGCAAGUCUGGUGCCAGGCAGCCGCAGCGUAAUUUCCAGCUCCGAUAGCUGUAUAUUUAAGUUGUUGCAGUUUAAAAAAAGCUCGUAGUGGACCUUGGGAUGGGAUCGAUCGGUCCGCCUUUGCGUGUCGCAUCGGUCGCCUCGUCCCUUUCUACCGGCGAUGCGCCUCCUGGCCCUUAGUUGGACCGGGUCGUGCCUCCGGUGCUGCUUACUUUGAAAGAAAUUAGAGUGCUCAAAGCAAAGGCCUACGCUCUGGAUACAUUAGCAUGCAUAACAUUCAUAGCGAUUUCGAUCCUAUUGUGUUGGCCUUCGCCGGAUCGAGUAAUGAUAACAGGGACAGUCAGCGGCAUUCGCUAUUUUCAUAGUCAGAAGGUGAAAUUCUUGCCGAUUUUAUGAAGCACGAACAACUGCCGAAAGCAUUUGCCAAGGAUGUUUUCAUUAAUCAAGAACGAAAGUUGGUGGCGUCGAAGACGAUCAGAUUACCGUCCUAGUCUCAACCAAUAAACGAUGCCGGACCAGGGAUCGGCGGAAGUUGCUUUUUAGCGGACUCCGCCGCGCACCUUAUGAGAAAUCAAAGUCUUUGGGUUCCGGGGGCGGAGUAUGGUCGCAAGCUGCAAACUUUAAAGGAAAUUUGACGGCCAAGGGCACCACCAGGAGUGGAGUCUGCGGCUAAUUGACUCACACGGGAAAGCUUACCAGGUCCAGACAUAGUAAGGAUACAGACUUUGAUAGCUCUUUCUUGCAUUCUAUGGUGGUGGUGCAUGGCGCCGUUCUUAGUUGCGACUGGAGCGAUUGUCUGGUUUAAUUCCCUCCUCUGUUAACGAACGAGACCUCAGCCUGCUAAAACCUAGCUAUGCGGAGGUGAUCCUCUGGCCAGCUUCUUUUUAGACCGACUAUGGCCUUCUUAGGCCAAGAAGUUUAGAGGCAAUAAACAGGUCUGUUGACUGCCUUUAGAUUUCUGGCCGCUACGCGCGCUACACUGAUGUAUCAACAGCUCUAUAGCCUGGCCGACAGGCCCGGGUAAUCUUGCAAAAUUUCAUCGUGAUGGGGAUAGAUCAUUGCAAUUGUUUGGUCUUCAAACGAGAAUUUUCCUAGUAAGCGCGAGCUCAUCAGCCUCGGCGUUGGACUACGUCCCUGCCCUUUGCUUACACACCGCCCGUACGCCCUCCUACCGAUUGAAUGGUCCGGUGAAGCUGUUCGGAUCGCGCCGACGUGGGCGUUUCGCCGGCCGGCGAAUAACGUCGCGAGAAGUCCACUGAAACCUUAUCAUUUAGAAGGAAGGAGAAGUCGCUACAAGGUUUCCGUAGCGUGAAAACCUGGCG
rnacentral:rRNA from 1 species